CCUACGGGGGGCAGCAGUAGGGAAUCUUUCACAAUGGGCGAAAGCCUGAUGGAGCAACGCCGCGUGCAGGAUGAAGGCCUUCGGGUUGUAAACUGCUUUUAUAAGCGAGAAAUAUGAUGGUAACUUAUGAAUAAGGAUCGGCUAACUACGUGCCAGCAGCCGCGGUCAUACGUAGGAUCCGAGCAUUAUCCGGAGUGACUGGGUGUAAAGAGUUGCGUAGGUGGCAUAAUAAGUAGCUAGUGAAAUCUGGUGGCUCAACCAUUCAGACUAUUAGCUAAACUGUUAAGCUCGAGACCGUUAGGGGUAACUGGAAUUUCUAGUGUAGGAAUGAAAUCCGUAGAUAUUAGAAGGAACACCAAUAGCGUAGGCAGGUUGCUGGGACGGUUCUGACACUAAGGCACGAAAGCGUAGGGAGCAAACGGGAUUAGAUACCCCAGUAGUC
rnacentral:rRNA from 1 species